AUUGAACGCUGGCGGCAGGCCUAACACAUGCAAGUCGAGCGGAGCGGCGGACGGGUGAGUAAUGCCUAGGACUCUGCCUGGUAGUGGGGGAUAACGUCCGGUAACGGGCGCUAAUACUGCAUACUAUCAGAUGAGCCUAGGUCGGAUUAGCUAGUUGGUGGGGUAAAGGCCAACCAAGGCGACGAUCCGUAACUGGUCUGAGAGGAUGAUCAGUCACACUGGAACUGAGACACGGUCCAGACUCCUACGGGAGGCAGCAGUGGGGAAUAUUGCACAAUGGGCGAAAGCCUGAUCCAGCCAUGCCGCGUGUAUGAAGAAGGUCUUCGGAUUGUAAAGCACUUUAAGUUGGGAGGCGUUACCAGCAGAAUAAGCACCGGCUAACUACGUGCCAGCAGCCGCGGUAAUAC
rnacentral:rRNA from 1 species